rnacentral:rRNA from 1 species
UACGUAGGUGACAAGCGUUGUCCGGAUUUACUGGGCGUAAAGAGCGCGCAGGCGGUCGUUCAAGUCGAGUGUGAAAGCCCCCGGCUCAACUGGGGAGGGUCACUCGAUACUGAUCGACUCGAAGGCAGGAGAGGGCAGCAGAAUUCCCGGUGUAGUGGUGAAAUGCGUAGAUAUCGGGAGGAACACCAGUGGCGAAGGCGACUUCCUGGCCUGUUCUUGACGCUGAGGCGCGAAAGCUAGGGGAGCAAACGGG